rnacentral:misc_RNA from 1 species
AAGUCGUAACAAGGUUUCCGUAGGUGAACCUGCGGAGGGAUCAUUACAGAGUUGUCGACACGAGUUGUUGCUGGUCCUCAAAUGGGGGCCAUGUGCACGUUCUGUUCACACAUCCACUCACACCUGUGCACCCUCUGUAGUUCUAUGGUCUGGGGGACGCACCGUCUUCCUCCCGUGGUUCUACGUCUUUACACAUACACCGUAGCGAAGUCUUAUGGAAUGUACUCUGCGUUUAACGCGAUAUAAUACAA